AGAACGAACGCUGGCGGCAUGCCUAACACAUGCAAGUCGAACGCUCUUGGGAUUUCGGUCUCAAGGGAGUGGCGCACGGGUGAGUAGCGCGUGGGAACCUGCCCUGUUGUGGGGGAUAACCUAGAGAAAUCUGGGCUAAUACCGCAUAAUACCUUCGGGUCAAAGGAGCAAUUCGCUUAAGGAGGGGUCGCGGCCGAUUAGUUAGUUGGCGGGGUAAUGGCCCACCAAGACUAUGAUCGGUA
rnacentral:rRNA from 1 species